GGAAAUCAUUUCUGGAUUAGGGAAUCUGUGAACCACCAGAAAACGCAUAUAUUUUCUACAUUUCUGUGAGUGGAACCAUACAUUUAAUGCAAUUCUGGAAUAACCCAGAGUUGAAAAUGAAGAGAUCAAAAGUCAACACUGAAAGUGAAAAAUCAACCAAUUCUGUCUUGUUUCCUAAGCUCUGCUCUUUUUCCUCUCGUCUGCAUAUUUACAUGUUGUGCACGAGGUGAACAGUGUAGAAAGUGAAAACGGGGGUUUUAAAGCAAAUUUUACUUCCAUUAAAAGAAAAACAUUUAAGUCACCUACCAGGUUAUAUAGUUCACAUUGUUUUUCUAUGAUUUUAGUUUAUCACAAUUCAAAGACGGGUCCUUUUUUUUUUUUUAAACAAUGGGAAUAAUCACACAUCUGAACAUAAGAAUUAGUUUUAUGCAGUUCCAUAGAAAACCAAAAUCUUGAGCAACACUUUCAAAACAAUCAGAGAAAAAUAAACCAUUCCUUAUGUCAGUCUUGUUAGAGAGGGAUUAAGAAACUGGCAAUUAUUUUGGCGACCUUAAUUGUUGCUCGGCAGGAAAAUAUGUAAUUAGAGCACGUUCCCAGGCCGGCACACCUGCAACGCAUCCUGAAAUAUAAUGUCAGCUUUCAGUGCCCAUCCGUGCCAGGUUCUAGCACAGCCAGUCACAGUGACACUCUGAGAACACUUGGGUCUCAUGUAAUGUGGCCUCUGUGUAUGAGAGAAGCAGGCAUUUACACCACCACACAAUGGAGCGCAUUGCCGCACACUGGCUCAUUAUUCCCCGACGCCCACCUUCAGCUCUGCCCUGGUUUACUCCAUUUGAGGUUUUAUUGUUACGGUAUAGCAGUCCUGUACAUUUCUGAGAUUCCCUGUUAUUCAGCUUAUUAAUACAGCACAGCCUUGAUUAUCGGGCUGCAGUUGCGCAGCAGAAGUCAGAGGCUGAGGAAUUUGUGGAGUGAUGGGAGCAACCUCUUGACUCUUCAUAGAGAAAUUUGGGCUGCAGUCCCCCUCUCUAUAGUCAUGCUUUAGAAUUCACUCUGUGUCCUCUACAUGUUGACAAGAAUCCACUCUUCAUGUAGAGAAAGCUUAAAACACAUUCUGGUUAAUUUGACAGUGUUUCCGGGUACGAGAAGGACUCCAUCUUGCUGCUUAUUAGCUUCUAAAUAUUCCUUUUAUUGGUUUUUCUCAACAGAAAGAAACUCUGCCGAUAGGAAGAGUGGAUUGAACCAAGAAAUAGCAUGCAGGGUGCCUGCUUUUCAGAUAACUCAGUAAUCUGGCAUUCUGAUAGUUAACAGACUUUUCUCCCCUAAGGGAGAUACACUGUAUUUUGCUAUCUGACAUGUUGUCAUAUAUAAAGAAAUCAAUUGGUAAUUAAAUGAUGUACCUUGUGAAGAUGACAAAAGGCAUUUGGUUGCGAAAAGAGAACUGGGUUUUGAGGGGUUUGUAAUGAAGGCCUAAUGACUAUUCAUAAGAGAUUUUCAGUCCGUUGAUCCACUUGACUGGAAAGUUCUGCCCUGGAGAGUUAGUGCUGUCAGUUUCUCUCACCUCAGAAAGCCGCCGCAAUCGACGGUAUAGAGGAAGAGCGAGAAAUUAUCUAGUUGUUGCUCUGGGCCUAUCUUAGGUCACGUGCAGAAGGCACAUCUGGCUUUCUGUAGGUGCAACCUCGGGACAUAAACUUUGACUAAUUUUUAAACCAUAAAUAUGUACAAGUGACACUGAAUAAGCUACCUUUUUUUCAUAUUUUUUCUUUAUUUUAGAAUGCAUGCAAGUGGUUUGGCAGGCUGCUACUUUGGUCUUCUUUUUAUUCCAAUUUUAAGUUAUAUUUUUGCUUGUUAGGCUAAGAGUAAUUGCUAUGGUGUUGUUGAGGAUCAAAUGACGGGAAUCUUCUUACAUGUAUCCAGUGAACAUAUCUUUACAGAGAAUAUGCUAAAACUACCACCACAGGAAGGCCAGCCGUGGAGGGAACAGUAUGGCAGAGUGUUCCUGGUAGAUGUCAAUUGUCUUAUUUGUCCAAAGGAAGUAAGAUAUCCAAAUUUAUAUUCAUAAGAAGAGAGGAAGGCUCCUAUCACCUAAGAAAAAUGAAUUGAAUUCCACAGUAUAACUAUUUCAGUGUCUUUAUUAAAAACAACAACAAAUCGUGUAUUUAAAAAAGAUCAGUUAUGGCCAAACACUGGCCACAAACAUGACUACCCUGGCUGAGUGCAUACAAAGAUGGAGG
rnacentral:lncRNA from 1 species